CGGCGGGGUGGGGGAGGGGUCAGCCCUUGCGCCAUUUCUGGGCGCCGGUGCCGUUGCAGGUGUAGAGCUGGAGUUUGACACCGUUUCCGGUGCC
rnacentral:tRNA from 1 species